UACGUAGGGUGCGAGCGUUGUCCGGAAUUAUUGGGCGUAAAGAGCUCGUAGGCGGUUUGUCGCGUCUGCCGUGAAAGUCCGGGGCUCAACUCCGGGUCUGCAUUCGAUACGGGCAGGCUAGAGUUCGGUAGGGGAGAUCGGAAUUCCUGGUGUAGCGGUGAAAUGCGCAGAUAUCAGGAGGAACACCGGUGGCGAAGGCGGAUCUCUGGGCCGAUACUGACGCUGAGGAGCGAAAGCGUGGGGAGCGAACAGG
rnacentral:rRNA from 1 species